UUUCAAUGCCCAAAAUCAAAGGUUUUAUCAUGGAAAAUCAAGGGAGAAUAAGGGAGGGACGGCAUGCAUGUUUUUGGUGCAAGGUCAUGCGUUUAUGCCAGCCAGCCACGCUCCCGCGCCAUACCUCGCCAAACCUCCCAGUUACAUUCCCACAAUUCACGCUGAACCACGCCUUUUUUCUUUUUCUUUUUUUUCAAUGAGCCAUUGGGAAAGACUCAAGAGCCAUGCACUCACAUGGCCUCCAAAGACCGCUUGAAGCCUUCGUUUCCCACCUUUAAAACAACACAAGACCCCCGUGAGCCCACACGUGAAGACCCUUCAUAUUUAAAUUACCAGCACACAUGAAGGCCCACAUUUAAGCCAUGCUUCUCUUUUUAAAUCCCUGUGCACCCUUCACACGUUUGAAUGAAACUCCUCUCCCACACUCUCUUUCAAAAGCCACAGAUCCCAUCUUCAAUAAAUACUCAUGCUCUUUUUUUUUUAAUAUUUCUUUUUAUUUGAUAAAUUUCUGAUGUUAGUAUAUUUUUUAUAUGUCAUAUAUAUAAUAGAUCUAAAUUUGAAUAUAAGCUUCAUCUGCACGUGUACCGUUGCUUAUUGAUUUACGAUAAUUUCUCAUAAUUAAUUAUUUUUUUAAAAAAUAAAAAUAUAUUAAAUAUAAAAUAAUAUAAUUUAAAUAUGAAAAAUUUUAAUAUUUUUUAUGUUACAUUUGAUGUAUUGAUCAGAUAGUUUUUAAAGGAUAAAAUCGUAAGACUCUAAAUGGCCAAAGCCCAUUGAAGUCUAAAGAUGGUUAAAGCCAAAGCAAACAAUACCUCAGAAUCAAAGUGGAUAAUACCUCAUACAUGCGGAUGCAGAGUCAACUCAAUCAUCUGAGCCAUCCAUUUAUAUACUAUGUAUGAGUGAAUAUCAUGUUCGAAAAUCUGUGUCAAUUUAUGUAUAAAAAUGUAAUGAGUUGUUGCUGAAUGUAUAUAAGAAAAGCCUACACUAUAUAUCAGUAAGUCAUCAAGUAUAUAUAUUUGGCUAUGUACCAUAUAUACUAUUGAGUAUUAUGUUCUAGAAGCUACGCAUCGAUUUAUCUAGAUAUGUGUAUUGAGACAUUGGAUGAAUAUUUUAUUAGAUUUAUAUCAAUUGGA